rnacentral:rRNA from 1 species
AUACGUAGGGUGCGAGCGUUGUCCGGAAUUACUGGGCGUAAAGAGCUCGUAGGUGGUUUGUCGCGUCGUCUGUGAAAUUCCGGGGCUUAACUCCGGGCGUGCAGGCGAUACGGGCAUAACUUGAGUACUGUAGGGGAGACUGGAAUUCCUGGUGUAGCGGUGAAAUGCGCAGAUAUCAGGAGGAAAACCGGUGGCGAAGGCGGGUCUCUGGGCAGUAACUGACGCUGAGGAGCGAAAGCAUGGGUAGCGAACAGGAUUAGAUACCCUGGUAGUCCAUGCCGUAAACGGUGGGCGCUAGGUGUAGGGGUCUUCCACGACUUCUGUGCCGUAGCUAACGCAUUAAGCGCCCCGCCUGGGGAGUACGGCCGCAAGGCUAAAACUCAAAUGAAUUGACGGGG